UACGUAGGGCGCAAGCGUUGUCCGGAAUUAUUGGGCGUAAAGAGCUCGUAGGUGGCGUGUCGCGUCUGCCGUGAAAGCCCAUGGCUUAACUGUGGGUCUGCGGUGGAUACGGGCAGGCUGGAGGCUGGUAGGGGCAAGCGGAAUUCCUGGUGUAGCGGUGAAAUGCGCAGAUAUCAGGAGGAACACCAAUAGCGAAGGCAGCUCGCUGGGACGGUACUGACGCUAAGGCGCGAAAGCGUGGGGAGCGAACAGG
rnacentral:rRNA from 1 species